UGGGCUCCUCAUCCGGGUGGAGGAUUGCCUGCCGUGCCACUCCAAAACUCAUCAGUACCACCAGCAUUAUCACCACAAAGUAAAGCAUGUCGAUCAUCUGCCAGACAUAAAGCAGGGUCCCAGGUACUUGUUGACCCCAAAUAUAUCCAGAACCCGGAUGUACCAGAAGAUGAUGUCCACGCAGUAAAUCACACGGCCAUAACCCAUCUUCCCUGGUUCGGACAUCAAGAUCUGCAAAAGGACAUCCAGAACAUACUCUAUAAACUAGUUUUGUGCACCAUUUUUUUCUCACAAACAUAGUUCGAGUUGUG